AUACGUAGGGUGCAAGCGUUAAUCGGAAUUACUGGGCGUAAAGCGUGCGCAGGCGGUUUUGUAAGACAGUGGUGAAAUCCCCGGGCUCAACCUGGGAACUGCCAUUGUGACUGCAAGGCUGGAGUGCGGCAGAGGGGGAUGGAAUUCCGCGGGGAGCAGUGAAAUGCGUAGAUAUGCGGAGGAACACCGAUGGCGAAGGCAAUCCCCAGGGCCUGCACUGACGCUCAUGCACGAAAGCGUGGGGAGCAAACAGGAUUAGAUACCCUGGUAGUCCACGCCCUAAACGAUGUCAACUGGUUGUUGGGGAUUUAUUUUCUCAGUAACGAAGCUAACGCGUGAAGUUGACCGCCUGGGGAGUACGGCCGCAAGGUUAAAACUCAAAUGAAUUGGCGGGG
rnacentral:rRNA from 1 species